GAUGAACGCUGGCGGCGUGCUUAACACAUGCAAGUCGAACGGGAAACCUUUUAUUGAAGCUUCGGCAGAUUUAGCUGGUUUCUAGUGGCGGACGGGUGAGUAACGCGUGGGUAACCUGCCUUAUACAGGGGGAUAACAGUCAGAAAUGACUGCUAAUACCGCAUAAGCGCACAGGGCCGCAUGGCCCGGUGUGAAAAACUCCGGUGGUAUAAGAUGGACCCGCGUUGGAUUAGCUGGUUGGUGGGGUAACGGCCCACCAAGGCGACGAUCCAUAGCCGGCCUGAGAGGGUGAACGGCCACAUUGGGACUGAGACACGGCCCAGACUCCUACGGGAGGCAGCAGUGGGGAAUAUUGCACAAUGGGGGGAACCCUGAUGCAGCGACGCCGCGUGAAGGAAGAAGUAUCUCGGUAUGUAAACUUCUUUUAAGGGGGAACAGUAGAAGAGGGUACCCCUUGAAUAAGCCAACGGCUAACUACGUG
rnacentral:rRNA from 1 species